UUUGCAGCCUGUCUGAUCAUGCAGUAGAUCCCUGUCAUGCAAAACAUAGGCUAGCCAAGGAUAUACGUAGGUUUUGUCAUAUUUGAAAAUAAUGGUAGAGGUAGAGGUAGAGCUAUAAUACUGAAGUUAUUUUUGUUGUACAAAGUUGUUCUGCUUUGUGACUAAGCAAGGGAAAUAGUGUGAUUUUAUAUAGGUGGAAUGGAAGGUGGAAGCCAUAUAUACAAGCAAUUACUAAUUUCCCUGA